CACCCUCUUAGGCCAGAGAAUUCCUCAUGGGCGCCAAACUCUUUUACUCUAUUUUCCUUUCACGCGGCUUCUUAGACACUCUUUUCAUCGUAUCAUUCAAAAACCCUAAUUAUCAUAUAGGUAGUGAUUCUCUGGCGAUUUCAUACAUCUGCGAUUUUAUUCGAAACACUUAAUCUGUAGCAGGGCGAUUCUCAUCAAAGUGAUUAUUGGAAACCCUAAAUUGUAACCAGUGGAAUUGAAUCCAGCCGUCCAUUGAGAAACCUUAAAAUCUUCAGAAAAGUUUGAAGCUUGAGAGAGAGAGAGAGAGAGAGAGAGAGAGAGAGAGAAUGGAAACAAGUGGUGGUUGGAGCCAUCCAUCCAUGUUUUAUCUUCUUUCCAUCAGUCAUCAAAUGGGUUUUUAUUGUGAAGAGGUUUUGUUGAUGAGGAUGUUAGAUAGUCAAAGCCAUGGGAUUUCAAUCCUUUUUGAUCAAUGUGAUUAUCAGAAAAUCCCAAAUCUUAAAUCUGGUGUUAAACAAAUGGUUAUAUGUUUUGUAACAGAAAUGGUCUUGAAAAUUGUUUGGAUUGUAUUGAAUUGAAUUAAGUUGAGUUAAUUAAGGUUAGGGUUUAUGUGAAUAGUUUUUAAUAGUGUUUGGAUUGAAUAGAACUGAAUUGAAUUAAGUAAGGUUAUGGGUUUAUGUUGGGUUUAUUAUUAUUAUUAUUAUUAUUAUUAUUAUUAUUAUUAUUAUUAUUAUUAUUUUAGGUUCAAGGGUUUAUGUGUUUUGGAACAGAAAUGAGAAAAUUUACUGGAAAAAAAAUAUUUCUGUUUAAUAUAUUGUUAACUAUUUGGAUUAAAUUGAAUUUAAUUGAGUUGAGUUAAGUUAAGUUAAUUAAGGUUAGUGUUUAUGUGUUAUUUUUUUAGGUAAAGGGUUUAUGUGUUUUGGAACAGAAAUGGUUUUGAAAAUUGUUUGGAUUGAAUUGAGUUGAGUUAAUUAAGGUUAGGGGUUAAUCAUAUAUGUGUUUUAUUAUUAUUAUUAUUAUUUUGGUUAAAGGGGUUAUGUGUUUUGGACCACGAAUGGAGAAACCAACUGGAAAGAAGAAGUUACAAACUGGAGUUGAAAAAGCAACCAAACAGAACAAAAAAACAUCAUCUGAGAGAGCUUUAAAGCUUAUUGAUGAAGAUACUGUUGUGCUCAUUCAAAUGGCUCAAGAACUAUAGGAAGAAGGUAUUAAAAUAUUUCAAAAGCAUGACAGUGAAGGUAUAAUGCUAAAGUAUGAAAAAGGAGUGAAUCUGUUACCAAAAAAUCACAUAGACGUUACGUAUUUACGUAGCAAAAUGGCGGUUUGUUAUAUGCAAUUGGGACUUAAGGAGUACCCUAGAGCUAUUGAGAAGUGUAAUAAAGCUCUUGAAGUUGCUCUGAAAUACAGUCCGACGUUGGUUAAACGAGCGAAGUGUUAUUCCGUGCAAAAUAAGUUUAAUUCGACUUUGAGUGAUGUUACGACCGUGUUGAACAUGGAGCCGAACAAUGUGGCUGCAUUGGAGAUAGAGAGUUCGGUUAAGAAGGCAAUGGGUGGGGACGAGUUGAACAAAGAUGUUGGUGUUGUUGAAAAUGUCGAAGAUAAAGCGAUAGCAUCGAAAAAGAAAGCGAAAAAGAAGAAAGACGAUGAGAAGGUGAGUGAGGUGAAUGAGUCCAAAGGUAAAGAUAUUCGCAUAGUUGAGUACAUCGAUGAAAAAGAGAAAAUAUCAAAAGCGGAAGUGAAAAAGGAGAACGACGAUGAGAAGGUGGUUCACGUAGAUAAAACAAGCAUAAAAGACGAAAAACUGGUGACGAAAACCGUGAAGAUGGUUCUCGGAGACGAUAUAAGGUGGGCCGAGCUUCCGGUUAAUUGUAGCAUCGGUUUGGUUCGGGAGAUAAUUCAGGACCGGUUUCCGGGCCUAAACGAUGUUCUUAUAAAGUAUAAAGAUCCAUAAGGCGAUUUGAUCACAGUUUUAACUGCCGAUGAGUUAAGAUUAGCCGAAAAGUCAAGUGAUCCUCAAGGCUCUUUUAGGCUUUGUUUAACACAAGUUAGUCCAUAUAAAGAACCAUUAUACGAAGGGUUGAUGUUGACUGGUCAACGACUUCCUAACUCCGAACCCGUACAAUCUAGCGUGUCCGAGAAUGUUAGUUCGGAAAAACCGGAGGGAGUCGAAGAAUGGAUCGUUCAAUUCACAAGGCUAUUUAAGAACCAUGUGGGUUUAGAUACGAAUCUUUAUUUAGAUCUUCACGAGAUUGGAAUGGAAUUGUAUUCCGAAGCGAUGGAAGACGGUAUCUUAAACAAAAACGCUCCAAAUCUGUUUAAUAUCGCUGGUGAAAAGUUUUAAGAAACGUCCGGGUAUCACCAACGGGUUCAAUGGGUAUGUGAGUUUUUGUUCUUAGUAGGAUGCGUAUAUAUUUUUUCUACAGUUUCUGUAAUAACUAUGGGGCGGGGUAUAGUGGGUAAAUCUGUCUUGGUGCUUCGGUGGCAGGCAUAUAGUCUCAGGCCUGUUUGUCUUCGAGGAUGAAAAUUGCUUUGGGCAUGCAUCUAUCUAAGUGGGUGAAAAUAAGAAGUUGGGGGCAUCUGUUUUAGCAAAUGAUGACGUUUCUACUAAUUCUACACUACCUAAAGUUGACGUAGUUCCAAGAUUACCUGGGUCCAAAAAAAAAGGUGCCAUUUCUCCUGGUAGUUAUGUUGUUAUUAACCAAAAAAUAGGUUUUAACUUCUUUGCCUCAACUUCGUUGAGUAGCGGUACUCAGUCAUCUGUGCUUUCUUAACCAACUUCCGUAGUUGAUACAGUUACCCUUCAAAAUAAACCUACAAUGUUCCCAACUUUUGAAACAGAUAAAGCAAAUGUUAGUGCUACAAACGCAGUUGGCCCAACCAGCUUGAUUCGGAUCAUCAACCUCUGCUAACUUGACAACUGCAUCAGCAAGUGGUGUAUUUUCAUUUGGUGGCUCAACAAAUAAUUAUGGUAUUAUUAAUGGGACUUCUUCGGGUCCAUCAAUUUUGCUUCCUCAUCUUCUUUUUAAUCUUCUGGAACCAACACAAACAAGAUUUUCAGUAGUAGCUCUUCCACUGUUCUCUCUUCUAUCACUUCAGCUGCCAGCGGUGCUUUUUCUACAUCUGGUGUUGUGUACGCAUUUUAAUUUUAGGUUUGCAACUGCAUCAUCUACUACAGCCUCAGUAGCACAGACCUUACUUUUUUUCCAGCACAUCAUCCACCGCAUCGAGCAAUGGUGGUAGCAUAUUUAGAUUCAGUUCUCCAUCAGCUACAUUAAACACCAACGGGUCUUAGGCAAAUACACAGGCUGCAUCUACUGUAGUUACACAGGCGGUCCCAUUCAAGUUUGCAGCAACAAUACUUGAAGAGGUCACCAGCGGAGGUAACGGUUCUGAGCUCCUGAAAUGAAUCGACAUCUACAUAUCUUUGAUCUGGUCAGAUCUUCAACGUUUAAGAAUAGUCUGAUGUUUAGGAACCUUGAAGCAAAUAACUUUUCGGGAACUGUUCCAUCUGAUUUGGGGAGAUUAAUAAAUUUACACACAUUGAUUUUGUCCUCAAACCGGUUGACGGGAACGUUGCCAGCAUCCCUUGCUGAAUUGAGCAAUUUAAAAGAUUUCAGGAUAAUUGACAACAAUCUUAGUGGGUCCAUACCUAAUUUCAUAGAAAAUUGGAGACAACUCAAUAAACUAGAACUAAUUGGGACGGGGCUUUCGGGACCGAUUCCUUCAUCCAUUUCCUUUCUGAACUUAACUGACGUGAGAAUUUGUGAACUAAGUGGACCAACUCAGAGAUUCCUUCCGUUAGAUAAUGCUGUUGGUUUACUAACACUGUAUGUAGAAGGUUUUGUAUUUCAAAUUGUCGUUGUAAUCUAAUAUAUAUUCGUUUGUGUUUUAACGUGUAUAAAAUCAUAAUAUUUACGUCAA